rnacentral:lncRNA from 1 species
AAUGGGUGGUGGGAUCUUCAGUUGAUAUUUUGAAGAUUCGUGAGGGGUUUAUAGACAUGUCAACAUACUUUCGUUUACAGAUGUCAAUGAGAAAUUGGAGGAGUGUCAACUAAGAAUGGCAAAGUACUUAUGGGUAUGGAUAACCGCGGUUAUCCAUUCAUAUAAAAUUCACGAUUACGGUUAUGUGAAUAACCGUUUACCCGUGAAAUUUAGAAGGUAGUUAUGGGUAUUACCCCUGGUUAUAAACAUGAAUUCAUUUAACUAUUUAUUUUAAUGUAUGUAAAAUAAAUAAAACUAAAAAUCCUUAAAUUGUUCGAUGGACUCCCGCCGCUCAUCUCUCUCCUUGCUGUCAUCUCUUUCAUCUCCACUUCUCUCUUGUCUCCGGAGCGGCACCUGAACCUGCAUCCACGGCGGAGUUUCACAACGAAGCAUUUGUCUAUGUGGCACAUGUGAAUAAUUCCCAAACACUACGACAAUACGUGGUGUGAAAAAGGCUAUAACCUAUUGUCGUUUUUUCUCAUGGGGCAAAAGUCCAUACUGGAAAGGAAUCUGUAAUUCUGUAUGGCCAAUAUAUCCCAUUUUUAACUUUUACUGCUAAAUUAUUCUAAGGGAACAGCAACACCGAUCCUAUUACCUGUCUCUCUGUAAGACUUGCAGUGCCAUCU